AAAAACAUUGCCUUCCGACUUUACUAUGGAAGGUUCAUCCUGCCCAAUGACUCUUAGUUCAAUGGCCGCGGUAUCUUGACCGUGCAAAGGUAGCAUAAUCACUUGCCCCUUAAUUAGGGGCUGGCAUGAAAGGACACACGAAAGCUUCCCUGUCUCACAAUAAUAAAUAAAAAUUAAUCUUUAAGUGAAAAAGCUUAAAUAAAAUUGCAGGACAAGAAGACCCCGUUGAGCUUUAUUCUCUAUAGACCAAUCUAAAUAUUUAUUAUAUCAUAAACCUAAAAAAGAAUUUAGUUGGGGUGACUAAGGAACAUCAUAAACUUCCUCUAUCUAUUUAGGGCUAUUCCCCAAAAAAAUUGACCCACAAACCGUGAUCAAAAAAAUAAGCUACCACAGGGAUAACAGGCUAAUCUUUCUUAAGAGCCCAAAUUGUCAGAAAGGAUUGGCACCUCGAUGUUGGCUUAGGGGCCCCUAAUGGUGCAGAAGCCAUAAAAGGUAGGUUUGUUCAACCUUUAAAACCCUAC
rnacentral:rRNA from 1 species